rnacentral:tRNA from 1 species
GGAGUUGUAGCUUCGUGGUAGAGCACUUGCCUUGCAAGUAUGAGGCACUGGGUUCGAUCCUAGCACCA